rnacentral:rRNA from 1 species
GACGAACGCUGGCGGCGUGCUUAACACAUGCAAGUCGAACGAUGAACCCGGAGCUUGCUCUGGGGGAUUAGUGGCGAACGGGUGAGUAACACGUGAGUAACCUGCCCUGGACUCUGGGAUAAGCGUUGGAAACGACGUCUAAUACCGGAUAGGACCUUGGAUCGCAUGAUCUGGGGUGGAAAGUUUUUUCGGUCUGGGAUGGACUCGCGGCCUAUCAGCUUGUUGGUGAGGUAAUGGCUCACCAAGGCGUCGACGGGUGGCCGGCCUGAGAGGGUGACCGGCCACACUGGGACUGAGACACGGCCCAGACUCCUACGGGAGGCAGCAGUGGGGAAUAUUGCACAAUGGGCGAAAGCCUGAUGCAGCAACGCCGCGUGCGGGAUGACGGCCUUCGGGUUGUAAACCGCUUUUAGUAGGGAAGAAGGGCUUCGGCUUGACGGUACCUGCAGAAAAAGGACCGGCUAACUACGUG